rnacentral:rRNA from 1 species
AGAUGCGAUCAUACCAGCAUUAAAGCAAUGGAUCCCAUCAGAACUCUGAAGUUAACCUCCUAGGAAGUCCUUGUGUUGCAUUCC